AAUGUAAAUGCUCUGCAAAUAAUCAUAACAUUAUUUAAGGAAUAAUGACCAAAAACAUCUGCAUAUAUUCAAUAUACUCACUAAUUUUAAAAAAUAUUUUGAUCUGCAGUUGUUUGUAUCCAUGGCUCCAGAACCUAUGGACCCAGUGGGCAGACUGUAUUCCUAAAUUUCAAAGAAUUCUUCUUUUCCAAUUUAUGCAGAAGUCAUUUUAAGACCACAUCCUUUGAGGUGCCAUAGCACAUGGAUUUCAGAACUGCCUGUGAGGAGACAAAGACAGGGAUUUGUUUGCUGCAGGAUGGUAAUCAGGAGCCUUUCAAAAUCCGGCUGCACCUAGCCAAAGACAUUCUGAUCAUCCAGGAGCAAGAUGUGAUAUGCGUGUCUGGUGAGCCUUUCUAUUCCGGUGUAAGUAGCUCUUCCUUCUGUUGACAUUUUUGGUUAAUAAAAAUAUUUAUUCAAAGAAAAUUCUUAAUAUGUUUUACUUGCAGAGCCUAAACAGUGGUCCUGCAGUAAGUUUUGUUCACAUUGCUAAGUAAGCCAUGCCCAUUUGU
rnacentral:lncRNA from 1 species